rnacentral:misc_RNA from 1 species
GAAAGAUUUGACUAUUCUGUGAAUGUAAUUGCUGUGCGCUAAUGUUGAUUGAAAUUGGAAAUUUAGGGUUUGAAUGCGCAGAAAUUGGGAUUCAGGGCUUUUGGGUUGGAUUAGAAUGUUUUAUGUUGAAAUUCAACAACUGAAGAAUUGCCCUUUGAUGGGUGGAAUAGCCAAAUAGAACAUUUGGGAUUUGGGUUACAGAAAUGUUUCUCUCAGAGGUGAAUUUCAGGAUAUAAAUGUUAUUGGGAUGGUCAACUAAUGAAUUGUGUUGCAUUUAAGGUUUGUGUUAUUAUAAUAAAUAAUGGCU